rnacentral:rRNA from 1 species
AGUCGACGAGCGAGAGAGAGCUUGCUUUCUCGAGCGAGUGGCGAACGGGUGAGUAACGCGUGAGGAACCUGCCUCAAAGAGGGGGACAACAGUUGGAAACGACUGCUAAUACCGCAUAAGCCCACGGGUCGGCAUCGGCCAGAGGGAAAAGGAGCAAUCCGCUUUGAGAUGGCCUCGCGUCCGAUUAGCUAGUUGGUGAGGUAAUGGCCCACCAAGGCGACGAUCGGUAGCCGGACUGAGAGGUUGAACGGCCACAUUGGGACUGAGACACGGCCCAGACUCCUACGGGAGGCAGCAGUGGGGAAUAUUGCACAAUGGGGGAAACCCUGAUGCAGCGACGCCGCGUGGAGGAAGAAGGUCUUCGGAUUGUAAACUCCUGUUGUUGAGGAAGAUAAUGACGGUACUCAACAAGGAAGUGACGGCUAACUACGUGCCAGCAGCCGCGGUAAAACGUAGGUCACAAGCGUUGUCCGGAAUUACUGGGUGUAAAGGGAGCGCAGGCGGGAAGACAAGUUGGAAGUGAAAUCUAUGGGCUCAACCCAUAAACUGCUUUCAAAACUGUUUUUCUUGAGUAGUGCAGAGGUAGGCGGAAUUCCCGGUGUAGCGGUGGAAUGCGUAGAUAUCGGGAGGAACACCAGUGGCGAAGGCGGCCUACUGGGCACCAACUGACGCUGAGGCUCGAAAGUGUGGGUAGCAAACAGGAUUAGAUACCCUAGUAGUCCACACCGUAAACGAUGAUUACUAGGUGUUGGAGGAUUGACCCCUUCAGUGCCGCAGUUAACACAAUAAGUAAU